rnacentral:rRNA from 1 species
AGUGAACGCUGGCGGUAGGCCUAACACAUGCAAGUCGAACGGCAGCACAGUAAGAGCUUGCUCUUACGGGUGGCGAGUGGCGGACGGGUGAGGAAUACAUCGGAAUCUACUUUUUCGUGGGGGAUAACGUAGGGAAACUUACGCUAAUACCGCAUACGACCUACGGGUGAAAGCAGGGGAUCUUCGGACCUUUCGCGAUUGAAUGAGCCGAUGUCGGAUUAGCUAGUUGGCGGGGUAAAGGCCCACCAAGGCGACGAUCCGUAGCUGGUCUGAGAGGAUGAUCAGCCACACUGGAACUGAGACACGGUCCAGACUCCUACGGGAGGCAGCAGUGGGGAAUAUUGGACAAUGGGCGCAAGCCUGAUCCAGCCAUACCGCGUGGGUGAAGAAGGCCUUCGGGUUGUAAAGCCCUUUUGUUGGGAAAGAAAAGCAGCAGGUUAAUACCCAGCUGUUCUGACGUUACCCAAAGAAUAAGCACCGGCUAACUUCGUG